UAAGUUAUUUGUAAUUAGGUAGUAAAGGUGACUCUGAAACCUAAAGAACUUGGCGGUGUUUUAAAUAAUUGGAGGAACCUGUUAUUUAAUUGAAAAUCCACAUCAUAUCUUACCUUAUUUUUGUUUGUAUAUCGUUGUUUAGACAAUAUUUAUUAAUACAGUCGAUAAUAAAGAAUUUCCAAAAAUCAAAUCAAGGUGCAGCAUACUAAGGUUAUAAUGGGUUACAAUAUAAGUAAUAUAUACGGAAUUGAACUGAAAAAUUAUUUGAAGGUGGAUUCAAAAGUAAUUAAAUAUUAAAAAGUUUUGAUGAAUGAUUUUUUUAAAACAUGC
rnacentral:rRNA from 1 species